rnacentral:rRNA from 1 species
AUUGAACGCUGGCGGCAGGCCUAACACAUGCAAGUCGAACGAGUGGCGGACGGGUGAGUAAUGUCUGGGAAACUGCCUGAUGGAGGGGGAUAACUACUGGAAACGGUAGCUAAUACCGCAUACCAUCAGAUGUGCCCCGAUGGGAUUAGCUGGUAGGUGGGGUACCGGCUCACCUCUGCGACGAUCCCUAGCUGGUCUGAGAGGAUGACCCGCCACACUGGAACUGAGAAACGGUCCAGACUCCUACGGGAGGCAGCAGUGGGGAAUAUUGCACAAUGGGCGCAAGCCUGAUGCAGCCAUGCCGCGUGUGUGAAGAAGGCCUUCGGGUUGUAAAGCACUUCCAGCGGGGAGGCGUUACCCGCAGAAGAAGCACCGGCUAACUCCGUGCCAGCAGCCGCGGUAAUUC